CAAUAGUGCGCAUGCUCAGGAGGAAAUGUGCGCGUAAGAAACAGGAAGCCGACCCAGCGCGCCUGCUGCAGUUUGCCUCACGGCCGCCGGGUGGUGCGACUGCUCCACGCCGUGCUUGGUCCCUGAUGGAAGGCGAAGCUCUGAAGAGAGAAGUCUCAAUUGCAGAAUGCUUGGCUGGGAAGGAUGCAGCCUGUGCACGCCGGACAUUUUAUUUAGAAACGGUUCUGCCCGCGUGUGCAACAUUUUUUUGCGUCCUUUGACAGCUAUGGAUUGGAUUCGCCAAGGAGAGACCUGAAGCUCGGUUUUCCCAUAUUUUGCUUCCUCUCUGGACAGUUUGACCACACAAAAAAAUUUACCAUCUGGUGGAGAAAAUGAAGAAUUGCAGACAAUCUUUUGGAAACAGCUAUGAAUUAAUCUCAUCUUUUUACCAUGAAGAAACUGAUUAAGAAAAACAGCAUAUAUUUAGAUUUUAUUAUAUUGUUGCUGUUGCUAUUAUUUGGAGCAGGACCGGGGAUUUAGCUCAGUGGUUUCGCCGCCUGCUGUGCAAGCGCGAGAACUGGCGUUCAAUCCCCGGUACCAAAAGAAAAACCAAAACAAUGCAGGAGUUGCCACCUCGACCGCCCCCGCCCUUCCACACAAGUCCUGACUGCUGUCCACACCUGCAAAAGCAACUACAGGAACUCUUCCUUAAAUUGUCAUCUGCCCUGAAGUAAAUGGAAAAGUAUGAUCUGGGAUACAGAUGAUAUUGGUGCUAACACUGGCAAAAUAAAUCUUGGUGAUUGCUCAAGCAUCUGAUAUCUUUCUUACCAUGACUCUGUGUGAAAAACAUAACUUUAUGUGAAAAUAUAUAUUAUGGAUAUAAAUUUUUAUGAAAAAAACGAUUCGCUUUUUUUUUUUUUGGUAACGGGGAUCAAACUUGGGUCCUUGCGCUUGCGCAGCAGGCAGUGAAACCACUGAGCUAAAUCCCCGGCCCAAAAAUGAUUUGCUUUUGAACAGCCUCACCUGCCUUCUUUUUCACGGAGGAACAACCCAUGAAAUUGUGAUUGCGAAGGGAGUUGCUCUAGAUUGUCUUAUUUCAAAAGAAACACCGUGGGAAACCAUCCUUGUCACAUAACCUUUACCACGUUGCUCCAUGGCUUCUGCACUCCUAGGAACCACUUACAUCAUUUGCUGCGGAUGGGAUAAAAUUGAGAUGCAGAUGAAAACAACCCUGAGAUUCCACCUCACCCCGGAAGAAUGGCUGCUAUCAAGAAAUCAACCUAUAACAAAUGCUGGCGGGGCUGUGGCGAAAGAGGAACCCUGCUCCACUGCUGGUGGGAGUGUAGA